rnacentral:rRNA from 1 species
AGUGAACGCUGGCGGUAGGCCUAACACAUGCAAGUCGAACGGCAGCACAGUAAGAGCUUGCUCUUACGGGUGGCGAGUGGCGGACGGGUGAGGAAUACAUCGGAAUCUACUUUUUCGUGGGGGAUAACGUAGGGAAACUUAUGCUAAUACCGCAUACGACCUACGGGUGAAAGCAGGGGAUCUUCGGACCUUGCGCGAUUGAAUGAGCCGAUGUCGGAUUAGCUAGUUGGCGGGGUAGAGGCCCACCAAGGCGACGAUCCGUAGCUGGUCUGAGAGGAUGAUCAGCCACACUGGAACUGAGACACGGUCCAGACUCCUACGGGAGGCAGCAGUGGGGAAUAUUGGACAAUGGGCGCAAGCCUGAUCCAGCCAUACCGCGUGGGUGAAGAAGGCCUUCGGGUUGUAAAGCCCUUUUGUUGGGAAAGAAAAGCAGCAGGUUAACACCCCGCUGUUCUGACGGUACCCAAAGAAUAAGCACCGGCUAACUUCGUG